rnacentral:rRNA from 1 species
AUUGAACGCUGGCGGCGUGCUUAACACAUGCAAGUCGAACGAAGUGGCGAACGGGUGAGUAACGCGUAAUCAACCUGCCCUUCAGAGGGGGACAACAGUUGGAAACGACUGCUAAUACCGCAUACUGAAGGAGGGGCUUGCGUCUGAUUAGCUAGUUGGAGGGGUACCGGACCAGCAAGGCGAUGAUCAGUAGCCGGUAUGGGCGGAGGAAAUGCCACGUUGGGACUGAGACACGGCACAGAUGCAUAAGGGAGGCAGCAGUGGGGAAUCUUACGAAAUGGACGAAAGUGUGACGGAAUAACGCCGCGUGAGUGAUGACGGCCUUCGGGUUGUAAAGCUGUGUUAAUCGGGACGCGUUACCGGAAUAGAAAGCCACGGAUAACUACGUGCCAGCAGCCGCGGUGAUU